AGUGAACGCUGGCGGUAGGCCUAACACAUGCAAGUCGAACGGCAGCACAGUAAGAGCUUGCUCUUACGGGUGGCGAGUGGCGGACGGGUGAGGAAUACAUCGGAAUCUACUUUUUCGUGGGGGAUAACGUAGGGAAACUUACGCUAAUACCGCAUACGACCUACGGGUGAAAGCAGGGGAUCUUCGGACCUUGCGCGAUUGAAUGAGCCGAUGUCGGAUUAGCUAGUUGGCGGGGUAAAGGCCCACCAAGGCGACGAUCCGUAGCUGGUCUGAGAGGAUGAUCAGCCACACUGGAGCUGGAACGCGGUCCAGACUCCUACGGGAGGCAGCAGUGGGGAAUAUUGGACAAUGGGCGCAAGCCUGAUCCAGCCAUACCGCGUGGGUGAAGAAGGCCUUCGGGUUGUAAAGCCCUUUUGUUGGGAAAGAAAAGCAGCAGGUUAAUACCCCGCUGUUCUGACGGUACCCAAAGAAUAAGCACCGGCUAACUUCGUG
rnacentral:rRNA from 1 species